GGCCCUUGGAGGUUGGGCCCUUGAAGGUUGGGCCCGUGGAGGUGGAGCCAUUGGCCCAGGGCCCACCCACCUUCGUCUGUCAAGAAGAUGGCUACUUCGCCGACUUCCAUAGGAGCUGCACCGUUUACUAUCGCUGCGAAGGUGGUGUAAAGCAAACGUUUGAAUGCCCAACCGGUGAACUCUUCGACGAAGGGAAGGCCAUGUGUGUCCCACAAGAGGACGUUCAGUGUCCUUAUCCUAAAAGCAGCUAGACCUCUCCUCUCCUGGGACGCAAUGGACUCAAGUCUGUCUCAAGAUGAACUCCGUACCUGACCAUGGCAUGAUGACCUUGAUAACACUGUAUAUCAUUCUUGGAUAAAUAUUUGCAUUCAAACUGUUUAUAGAGAAGUUUCUUAAUGUGUAACUUUGUCUCAAUAAAUAUGAAUUGCAGCAA